rnacentral:rRNA from 1 species
UACGUAGGGACCGAGCGUUGUCCGGAUUCAUUGGGCGUAAAGAGCUCGUAGGCGGCCACUCAAGUCGAAUGUGAAACCUCGAGGCUUAACCUCGAGCCUGCAUUCGAUACUGGGCGGCUAGAGUCUGGUAGGGGGAUCUGGAAUUCCGGGUGUAGCGGUGGAAUGCGUAGAGAUCCGGAAGAACACCAGUGGCGAAGGCGGCUCACUGGCCCGAUACUGACGCUGAGGCACGAAAGCGUGGGGAGCAAACAGG